rnacentral:rRNA from 1 species
UACGUAGGGGGCAAGCGUUAUCCGGAUUUACUGGGUGUAAAGGGAGCGCAGACGGCAGUGCAAGUCUGGAGUGAAAGCCCGGGGCCCAACCCCGGAACUGCUCUGGAAACUGUGCGGCUAGAGUACUGGAGGGGCAGGCGGAAUUCCUAGUGUAGCGGUGUAAUGCGUAGAUAUUAGGAGGAACACCAGUGGCGAAGGCGGCCUGCUGGACAGUAACUGACGUUGAGGCUCGAAAGCGUGGGGAGCAAACAGG